UAUCUCUGUAGAGUCUGCAUAUCAAUAAGCGGAGGAAAAGAAACUAACUAGGAUUCCCUCAGUAACGGCGAGUGAAGCGGGAAGAGCUCAAAUUUGAAAUCUUCAAGGUUCUACCUUGACGAAUUGUAGUUUAAAGAAGUGUUUUCUGUUGGAUGUUUUGGUAAAAGUUCUUUGGAAUAGGACAUCAUAGAGGGUGAGAAUCCCGUAUUUGACCAUUACUUCCAGCGUUGUGAUACACUUUCAAAGAGUCGGAUUGUUUGGGAAUGCAGUCCAAAAUGGGUGGUAAAUUUCAUCUAAAGCUAAAUAUUGGCGAGAGACCGAUAGCGAACAAGUACCGUGAGGGAAAGAUGAAAAGAACUUUGAAAAGAGAGUUAAGCAGUACGUGAAAUUGUCAAAAGGGAAGCGUUUGACACCAGUGUUGUUUUCUCGAAAAUCAAUUAAAAAAAGUUGGAUUUUGUAUUGUUAAGACCUUAUCAGCUUACUGUACUCUUUUCUUGUCUUUUUUUAAUGCACUUUUCGUUUAACAAGUCAACAUCAAUUUCUUUUGUUGUAAAAGGGUCAUUGGAAGGUGGCUUUCUUUUCGGAGAAAGUGUUUAUAGCCUUUGGCCUCUGCAAUCGGAGAGAUUGAGGUCUGCAGCGUAGAUCCUUCGGGGUUAGAUACAUUUGUGCUAAGUUAUAGCCUUUCAUAGACAACUUGUUGACUAUGAUCAGUCAUGUAGCUUACUCGCUUAUGCUAUUUUACCUACGCUUAGGAUGUUGAUAGUCACAGCGUGUAC
rnacentral:rRNA from 1 species